rnacentral:rRNA from 1 species
UACAGAGGGGGCAAGCGUUAGUUCGGAAUUAUUUGGGCGUAAAGGGCGCGUAGGCGGCCUGGCGAAGUUGGAAGGUGAAAUCCCUCGGCUUAAACCGAGGAACUGCCCUCCGAAACUGCUUGGCGUUGAGACCGGGGAGAGGUGAGUGGAAUUCCCGAGUGUAGCGGUGAAAUGCGUAGAUAUUGGGAAGGAACACCAGUGGCGAAG